CACCCUGGACACACUUGAUCUCAUCCGAUUUCGGAAGCUAAGCAGGGAUG
rnacentral:rRNA from 1 species